GCGGACGUGGCGGAAUUGGCAGACGCGCCAGAUUUAGGUUCUGGUAUCGAAAGAUGUGAGAGUUCAAGUCUCUCCGUCCGCACCA
rnacentral:tRNA from 1 species